rnacentral:rRNA from 1 species
CCCGCACAAGCGGUGGAGUAUGUGGUUAAUUCGAUGCAACGCGAAGAACCUUACCUGGUCUUGACAUCCCGGAGACCCUUAGGAAACUAGGGGGUGCUUCCAUCUGGAAGAAUCUGGAGACAGGUGCUGCAUGGCUGUCGUCAGCUCGUGCCGUGAGAUGUUGGGUUAAGUCCCGCAACGAGCGCAACCCUUGCCUUUAGUUGCCAGCAGUUCGGCUGGGCACUCUAAAGGGACUGCCGGUGUUAAACCGGAGGAAGGUGGGGAUGACGUCAAGUCCUCAUGGCCUUUAUGACCAGGGCUACACACGUACUACAAUGGCCGAUACAAAGGGCAGCGACACUGCGAGGUGAAGCCAAUCCCGUAAAAUCGGUCUCAGUCCGGAUUGGAGUCUGCAACUCGACUCCAUGAAGUUGGAAUCGCUAGUAAUCGUGGAUCAGCAUGCCACGGUGAAUACGUUCCCGGGCCUU